GCGAAAGCCUGAUGCAGCAACGCCGCGUGAGCGAUGAAGGCCUUCGGGUUGUAAAGCUCUGUCUUCGCUGACGAAUGAUGACGGUAAGCGAGGAGGAAGCCACGGCUAACUACGUGCCAGCAGCCGCGGUAAUACGUAGGUGGCAAGCGUUGUCCGGAAUUACUGGGCGUAAAGAAUGCGUAGGCGGCUUUUUAAGUGGGAUGUGAAAUCCCUGGGCUCAACCCAGGAACUGCAUUCCAAACUGGAAAGCUAGAGUGCGGGAGAGGAAAUUGGUAUUCCCAGUGUAGCGGUGAAAUGCGUAGAGAUUGGGAGGAACACCAGUAGCGAAGGCGAAUUUCUGGAACGUAACUGACGCUGAGGCAUGAAAGCGUGGGGAGCAAACAGGAUUAGAUACCCUGGUAGUCCACGCCGUAAACGAUGAGUACUAGGUGUAGGGGGGUACCACCCCCUGUGCCGCAGUUAACGCAAUAAGUACCCCGCCUGGGGAGUA
rnacentral:rRNA from 1 species